GCAAGGCGAGGAAAAAAAAAAAAAAGGGGGGGGGGCGGGAUAAGCAAGCAACCGGUCCAAGCAGAAGCCGGCGGAGGCCUUCCAGAGGAAAAGAGGGGGAGGCAAGCCCAGAAACGCUGCAAACCCGUCGCUGGCUUCCCAGCCGGCCUUACCUAUAAACAGCGACCGGAAACCCUCCUUCGGCCUUCUGACUGGCGCCGGGCCGGGGUCUUCACUAAAAGUCUCUUCAGCCCGAAGCGGUCCGGCCCCUUUCGCGCGCAGAUUGGCUAGCAAGGCGCGAAGGUGGAGCCAGGACUAAUCCGCGAAGGAGCGUGACUCCCGAUCCCGUGAUGCCAGAGGAUAUGUACAGCAAAACAAGAAACAAAAUUCAGAAUCCAGGAGGAGAAGAAAAAGGCAUGUAUUCUCUAAUCUUAUGAGCUCACAUCUGACUUUGUCUUUUUAUUAACUGUAGCCAGCUGAUAAGAGAAUAAAUUGCUGAGUAACUAGAAGCAAAGGAGAAGCAAUUGUCAUUAAAAGAUAAAGUAUAACUUGAGCCUAACAUCUAGUGAAGAUGUGGACAUAACCAACUGGUUUUCUAAUAUUAUUCUGGAUGAUCUUUACCAUUUUCAGGGUGGUUUUUUUUUUUGUUACUUCGUAUAGUUCUUAGAUUUUACUUAGAUCUUUUAAGUAAAACAGGAUCUGAACCUGCUUAGAUUAUUUUUUAAGUUUUGCCAGCCAGAUGUUCAAAUAAUAGACUCAUAAUGCUUGGUGGUCUUCUAGUCUAAUCUUCUGCCCAAGGUAGAAGUCCUCAUACCCAUUUCAGAUGAAUGGUUGUCCAGUCUUGAAAACCUCCAGGAAUGGAGCAUCCAAAACUCCGGGAGGAGUUCUUAUUGCUCAAUAGUUCUUAUGUAAGCAAAUUCCACCUUUUUUCUGUUGAGUUUCCACCCAUUGCUUCUUUUCCUGUCCUCAGAUGCUAUAGAGAAUAAAUCAACUGUCUCUUCCCUGUGGCAGCCCUUCGUAUAUUGGAUGACUGCUGUCAUGUGUCCCCUCACUCUUCACUUUUUUAAGCUAAACACACCUAGUUCUUUUGAAUGUUCUUCAUAGGAUUUAACUUUCAGCUCCCUUAUCUUUGUUGCUCUUGUCUGCCCUCCCUCCAGGGCCUCAGCAUCCUUUUCCUAUUGUGAUCAGAACUGGACAAAGUGUUCCAAAUGCGGCCACACCAGUGUAGCACAGAGUGAUACUUUCACUUCCUGUGAUUUUGUUGCUGUGCCUCUUUUCAUGCUGCCUAGGACUGCGUUGGCUUUUUUGGCAGUUGCAGCACACUGCUGACUUGUACUAAGAAGUGGUCCACUGGGACACCUAGAUCUAGUGGGCCAGAUGCUAGUAUAUAUCCUGUACCUGUGUAUCUGUUUUUUUUUUCCUUCCCAUGUGUAAGACCUUACAUUUCACACCAAUAAACUGCAUCUUCUUGGAUGCAUAUAAUAAUAUUUAGACUAAAUUUCCAGAAUGUCCAUGAAGUAACCAAAAAUUGACUUUCACUGAAAAGAGUCUUUGCUUUUCAAGCUUUGUCACAUGACAAAAUCAUCUUUGUCAUUAUGUCACCCUGUAAGUAUUCUGGGAGUACAAUUCCCUAAAACACAGUGAAAGGCUUGGAAUUCUGGGAUUUCAAUCCCAUAAAAAAAAAAUAAAGAGUUGGGAAACUAUCCUGAGAACUUGGGAGGUGUCCUGAUGUGACAACAUUAAAACAAGCAUUCUGAUUCUGUUCCAUUGGUCAUUCUUGUUCUGAGAAUCCAAGAUGCCAUAUUGUCCAGCAAUCCUGUAUGGGCAACAGCUUAAUAUUUUAAAAUAGAAUCAAUAUGUUAGAAAGCAAUUGUGAUAAAAGAGGCUUAGAUGUUAUUGAUGUUACUAUAUAAUUACAGAUGUGUUGUGCUUUAGAUCCAAACAUGAAGGUGAUUAAAGCAGGUGUACACACUAUAUCUGUGUACAUUGUCCCAGAAAACAUAGAUCUGAGGAGGAUGGGGGAAUCUGCAGAGAAUUGUGGUGGAAUCAAAAUGUCCAUGAAAUUGAAGUUCUGCCCAAAAUGUAUAUGAAUCGUGACACUCCGUACUGAUACUCCAGGAUCUGAGAAGUUUUUUCCCAUUGCCUGGUGAAGAUAGAAAGAAGAUAGCAAAAAUGGAGGAAUCAAUUAUUUUCUUAUAAUUUUCUCAUUGCAAAGAAAAACACAUGCAGUGGAUCAGAGCAGAUAUAAAUUUCACGUGUAAUAGACUCUUCCGUCCCUAAUGAGGAGCUAUUCUUUUUGUACUGACUCAGGAGAAUAUCCACUGAUUUCUGUGAGGCUCACCUUCAGAUUGCACUUUAAAUGUUUAUUUUAAAAUGAUCCCAGGGAAUCACUCAUCACCUUUGACAAUUUUUAAUUUUCAAUCUUAGCACAAAACAAAUAUAAACCAGGAUGGGUGUUUUACAGAAAAAAGGCACACACAGAUAUUCCUUCUAUGAAGACUGGUUCCUGAUUGUGCCAGCCAUGCAGCUUUUUUUAAGCAAUCUUACAGUAGUUUGUUGUUUCUUAGCUAUUAUCUCAUUUCAUUUCAUUUUUCAUUUCUCAGUUAGUGCCCCCUCCCAAAGAUACAAGAAAAAGAAAAUGAAUGAAGGUUCAAUCAAACCUUUUUAGAUACUUUUGUCCUGGAUGAUUGAACUUUCAUUCAUUUUCUUUUUUUUUUCAUUUUUUGGAUACCCCUCCUGAAAAAAUAAUUGCAUGUUUGCCUAUUGAAGAGACUUUCUAAAGCUUUGGUCAGCAAUUUGAAUUGCUAAGAGGUCCCUAGAAAUUAAAUCUUGGUAGUGGUACUGAUACCGUCCUCAAUGAAGACGCAGAAUUGUGUGUGCAAGAAAAUCUAGAGUUAGGUUGACUGUUGAUAAUGUACUGGAAGACAACUAUUUUUCUAGGAAGUCUUUGUCCUAAAAAACAAACAUAUGUUGUUUCAUGAAACAACAGAGGCAGUGAUACUGUAAACAGAGCAGAACCAGUAAUGGGUUUUUGACAAACGUAGAGGGAACAAGCUAAGACAUUAAGCUUGGCGUGAAAGGAAAACUGUAAAAUAAUCUCAAGCAUCAUAUGUGAAAUAUCGCAUUGUACGCCUACUUGAGCUUCUAUUUUCUUUAUUAAAUACAUAGUGAUCUUUUGUAUUGUUCUUAAAAAAGAAUGAAAAAAAUGACCUUAAUUUUAAUCUUGUUAAAAAGAUCAAGAGAUUGAGACAAGAUAGUAUUCGCUUCUUUAUUUUAUAUCUAUAAUUUGCAGGAAUAUAUAUUGCAGGAAGCUGGACAGGAAGAAGAUGAGUGUGAUUUCAAAAUUAGAGAAAAAGUAUUAAUAACUUAUAGUAUGCUGAUGAACUACUCUGAUAGCUGAAAAUGCAAAUAGUCUGCAAACUCUAGUAAUGAAAGUCAAAGAGCACAGUAAAAGAACUCCCCAAGACUAAGAUUAAAUGUAAGAAACCGAAACUCAUGACAAAAGAUACAGCAACCAGCAUUAGAACUGGCAAUGAAGAUAAUGAAAUUAAAAUAGUUUCUGCCUUUUAGAAUCAACUGUCAAGAGCAGGGGUCUUCAAACUUGGCCCUUUUAUGACUUGUGGACUUCAACUCCCAGAAUUCUUCAGUCAGGCACGCUUCAGUUCAGUUAGGGCCAAGUUUGAAGACCCCUGGUCAAGAGCAAAGGAACCAGGAGUCAAGAAAUAUACCACAAACUAGCACUUAGUAGAGUAGCCAUGAAGGCAUUGGCUUCUGUAGAUUUUAGGUGAUUAUGGGCUGUGCCUAUAGCAAUAAAGAUCAGAAUCAUACAGACAUGGUUUUCUCUGUAACUUACUAUGAAAGUGAAAGUUGGACUUCAAAGAAGCAAUAUAAAAAGAGUGUUGAUAUUUUGGAAUUUUGGUGUUGGAGAUGAUUCCUGAAUAUACCAUAGAUAGUCAAGAAAAUAAUAAAAUGGAUUACUGAACAAUUAAACCAAGCAUUUUCAUUUAGGCACACAUAACCAGGUUCAAAUUAUCAUACUUCAGACACAUAUGAAGAUCUUUCUCGAAAUAUAUAUAUAAUGCUGGCAAAGCUGGAAAGAGAAGAUGAUGACUAGCAACAUGGAGGAUGGAUUCAAUUACUGUGGGACUGAAUGCACUGUUGGAAAAUGUGAAGAGGCAGAUCUUUCUGGGAAAACUUAUCUACUGUAUGUGUUAGCUAAGAGACAAUGCAAAGUUGAUGACACAUCUUCAUAAAAAGACCAAGAAGCAAUUAAAGUCACUUAAUUGAGAUAAGUGAAUUAACAAUAAACUCACAUAAAUUUAUUACAUUUGAAUAAUCUACAGAACUAAAUAGCUCCGUAUUGUAACCUCCAACUCAAGGCUCUAACCUUGAAUAACAUGAGGACAGUAUGGAAUGUAGUUCUUACAGAAAAAAUUGAUCUGUAUUAAAAUGCUUAAGAUGGGUGGGAAAUCCACAGGCAAUGGAUGAUAUGCCAGCCCCGCAUGUAUUUUGUGCCCCCCCCCAAAUCAUAUAAUACAACUGUACUUUUCUGAUAAUGAAAUGUGCUAUCUUUUUUCAUGAAAAAUGUAAAACACUUACUCUCGAAAGCCAACUAAAGUGGGGCUGAAAAUACUCAGUUCUGAUUCCAAGACAUCGGUUCUGACAUUUGACUUUAGUUUAUCAUAUUUAUCUCCUGCCAUUUUUUAUUCAUUCAAACCUCAUCUGUUUCGAAAAAUGUAUUUUAAUGGUUCAAAUUUAGUUUAGUAUUUCUAAUGAAUAAUAAUGAUAAUAAUUAAAUAUGUACUGAUAUUUGGGAUCUGUCAAAUUGCUGAAAAUGGAGCUCCUGCUGAAGGUUAAAUGUUACUUGAGUAGGUACCUGCAUUAAAAACUCCACAAAUUAUAAAUGCCUUCUUCUGCAGAAAUGUAUCACUUGUGAUUAGUGUUAAUGGUGAGUAGAAGGAGGCAGCUUACUCUGUCAAGUGUGAAUAUAGCUUUUACAAUUGAAUUAUGGGAUAUAAUUGUAACUAGCUAAUGUAGCCCUACAUUGACAUUGCUGUACAUGUUGAAAUUUAACUUUUUUUAAAAAA